rnacentral:rRNA from 1 species
CCCUUAGAUGUUCUGGGCCGCACGCGUGCUACACUGAGUGGAUCAGCGGGUCAGGUUGCGCGAAAGCGUUUCCUAAUCUUUAAAUCCGCUCGUGAUGGGGAUUGACGGUUGCAAUUUUCUGUCAUGAACGAGGAAUACCUUGUAAGCGCGGGUCAUCAUCCCGCGCUGAAUACGUCCCUGCCCUUUGUACACACCGCCCGUCGCUCCUACCGAUUGAGUGGUCCGGUGAAGCGCUCGGACCGCGGCCUCUUGACGGUUCGCUGUCGAUUGGCUGUGGGAAGUUCGUUAAACCUUAUCAUUUAGAGGAAGGAGAAGUCGUAACA